UACGGAGGGAGCUAGCGUUGUUCGGAUUUACUGGGCGUAAAGGGCGUGUAGGCGGCCUUGUAAGUCAGGCGUGAAAACCUCUGGCUCAACCAGAGAUCUGCGUCUGAUACUGCGAGGCUUGAGUGCAGGAGAGGAAAGCGGAAUUCCUGGUGUAGCGGUGAAAUGCGUAGAUAUCAGGAAGAACACCAGUGGCGAAGGCGGCUUUCUGGUCUGUCACUGACGCUAAGGCGCGAAAGCCAGGGGAGCGAACGGG
rnacentral:rRNA from 1 species